rnacentral:rRNA from 1 species
ACAGCAGCAGCCGCGGGAAUACGUAGGUGGCAAGCGUUGUCCGGAAUUAUUGGGUGUAAAGGGCUCGCAGGCGGUUUCUUAAGUCUGAUGUGAAAGCCCCCGGCUCAACCGGGGAGGGUCAUUGGAAACUGGGAAACUUGAGUGCAGAAGAGGAGAGCGGAAUUCCACGUGUAGCGGUGAAAUGCGUAGAGAUGUGGAGGAACACCAGUGGCGAAGGCGACUCUCUGGUCUGUAACUGACGCUGAGGAGCGAAAGCGUGGGGAGCGAACAGGAUUAGAUACCCCAGUAGUCCCUGUCUCUUAUAC